GUCUACGGCCAUACUACCGUGAAUGUGUCCAAUCUCAUCUGAUGUGAGAAGCUAAGCAGGGUCGGGCCUGGUUAGUACCUGGAUGGGAGACCACUUGGGACUACCUGGUGCUGUAGGCU
rnacentral:rRNA from 1 species